rnacentral:rRNA from 1 species
GACGAACGCUGGCGGCGCGCUUAACACAUGCAAGUCGAACGGAAAGGCCUGCUUUCCCUUGUGGAUUGCGGGUACUCGAGUGGCGAACGGGUGAGUAACACGUGAGUGAUCUGCCCCCAACUUGGGUAUAAGCCUGGGAAACUGGGUCUAAUUCCCGAUAGGACUGCAGGGUGGUGCCUGUGGUGGAAAACGAUUUUCUAGUGGUUGGGGAUGAGCUCGCGGCCUAUCAGCUUGUUGGUGGGGUAAUGGCCUACCAAGGCGGCGACGGGUAGCCGGCCUGAGAGGGUGGACGGCCACAUUGGGACUGAGAGACGGCCCAGACUCCUACGGGAGGCAGCAGUGGGGAAUAGUGCACAAUGGGCGGAAGCCUGAUGCAGCGACGCCGCGUGGGGGAUGACGGCCUUCGGGUUGUAAACUCCUUUCGACCGCGAGGAAGCCACCUGGUUGGAAGGGUGGUGACGGUAGUGGUAGAAGAAGCACCGGCUAACUACGUG